rnacentral:rRNA from 1 species
CCUACGGGUGGCAGCAGUGAGGAAUAUUGGUCAAUGGCCGAGAGGCUGAACCAGCCAAGUCGCGUGAGGGAAGACGGCCCUACGGGUUGUAAACCUCUUUUGUCGGGGAGCAAAGAGAGUCACGUGUGACUCAUUGAGAGUACCCGAAGAAAAAGCAUCGGCUAACUCCGUGCCAGCAGCCGCGGUAAUACGGAGGAUGCGAGCGUUAUCCGGAUUUAUUGGGUUUAACGGGUGCGUAGGCGGAUCGUUAAGUCAGUGGUCAAAUUGAGGGGCUCAACCCCUUCCCGCCAUUGAAACUGGCGCUCUUGAGUGGAAGAGAAGUAUGCGGAAUGCGUGGUGUAGCGGUGAAAUGCAUAGAUAUCACGCAGAACCCCGAUUGCGAAGGCAUCUCACGAAUCCGCGAUUGACGCUGAUGCACGAAAGCGUGGGUAUCAAACAGGAUUAGAUACCCCUGUAGUC